GUCCUUUACAAUAAUUUUUCCCCCCAACUUGAAUUUUUUUGAUUAUCAAAAUGUUCAAAGUUAGCAAUCAUUACAUUGUGCAGUAAAUACAACGCGUGAGACAACAUGUUGACAUUACAUAUCAAUAUGUUCAGUGUAUACAUUCAUGUCAUUAAGUAAUUACAUAGUUCUGCAAUCUGAGUGCAGGUUUCUGUGUAAAUUGUAGUGUGUCAGUUAUACGAAUAGUGCCCACCAGUGUACUCCACAUGUUGCAGUAAAUAAAUGUAAAAAGAGUAAUACGUAAAACCAAAAGAACAAAAAAGAACACAUGAGCAGUGGGCUAGGUAACUUUGACUCACAGUGGUGUACGUGAGCUGAUGUAUUUUACCUGCAGUGUGUAACUUCCCAGGGAAACUGUUCAGUUAUGUGGUUGUAGUUUAUUAAGUGUUCUCUGAUUGCUUGGAUAUGUAAUCUGACCAUAAGCGUAGCACCUCUUUAGUCGCUUUACCCCUAUGGAGUUGGAUCUGGAUCAUACCUUUGUAAUCUAAGUUUUGUUGUUUGUUUAAUUAGACAAUUUAUUUUAAUAAUACUGUAGGGAUAAUUGUGGAGUAACAUAUUAAAAAUAAUAUUUUGUUUAAAUUAUGAAAAAUUAUUUUCCAGAUAAUAUGGCAAAAAAAUAAAUUUAGUUUGUCUGUGUACAUAAUUCCCGGUAUAUUAACCAUGUUUUUUAACUAUAUUAACCCUUGUAUAUAACCACUUCUAAAUAUAUCUAAAUAUAUAUGAGUGAUAAAAGUGUGAUCUAUAACUACAAUUGUCAGUUUCACUAACUGUCAUUUUCAAUAACUUUCAUUAACAGUAUUUAUAUUACCCUAAAUAUAUGUAAUGCAACAAUAGAGGAAAUUUAGGGCCCAAAUCACUCUGUCCCUUUUUUUACUCUUAACUCCUUAAUGACUGAGGCAGUUGUACAAGUUGUGAUAACAAAAAAUGUAAACAUAACUUUGAAUUUGCACUAUACGUCUAUUCAACCAGAAUUCACCUCUUUCAUAUUAAAUGCACCCACAUUUAUUAUAUAUAAUUUUGUUCAGGAGAAACAGGGUUUUUAUGUCAUAUCAAAUAUUUAUAUAUGAAACAAUUUAAUAUGCAUAAAAUAUAAAACUAAUUAAGAAAUUAAGAAAUGUUAUUUUUUUUAGUUCUGCAUGGAAUUUUAACUGUGAAUAGCAUAACACUGUUAACUGUUACUGCAAUAAAAUACACAUAUUUGUAUUCACUGAUGUCUCACGAGUAAACCAGUACCCCAA